CCGCCGCCCGUGCGCGUGCGCGGGGGCCGCCCUACCGGCUCGCCCUAGUCUUUUGCUUUCUUUUUCCGGCCCGGGCCUCGCUCUCGCGCACGGGACCACAAUGCUCCGCGUCGCUUGUCAUUUGGAGGCGCCCAAAGAAUUCAGCCAGAGGAACAUGAACCACAGACGUUCAUCACCCUUCCCAGGACCAAGUUCAUUUUCAGCAGUCCAAGUGGGAUGACCAGAAAUGAAGACCCUCCAGUGAGUUUUAGGUCUGUAAGAUAAGACAGUUGGAAAGAGUGCCCAGAAGUCAUCUAGCCACCUACCACCUUCUUGGUAUAUGUGUUGUCCUUUCACAUGGCCCUGAAUAAAAAGUAAGCUCUUUUGGAGCAAGAAACGUGAUACAGAUGAAGAGUCUCAGAAAAUCGUACAAGUAUGUACAUUUAUAAAUUUCACAUGAGAAAAAGACUGCCAAGUUUUUUUUCACUC